CAGGUAGGACUACCCGCUGAACUUAAGCAUAUCAU
rnacentral:rRNA from 2 species